rnacentral:rRNA from 1 species
AUCUACAGCCAGGCUGCCCUGAACAAGCCUGAUCCCGGCUGAUCUCGGAAGCUAAGCAAGGUCAGGCCUGGCUAGUACUUGGAUGGGACACCACCUAGGCAGACCAGGUGCUCUAGGUG